GCAAACACUCCCAGGAAAGGGACAGCACAGGGUUAGACACAGAGUAAAGCUCCUCUUACACCGCCCCCUAGAGGUUGAAUUCGGUAACAAUGAAGCUGUGGACUGAGUGAGGUGGCCAGGGACAGGAAGGGGCGAGAAACCGAGCGGGACGUUACAACAAUUGAGCUCGUGGAGAUCGGGCCCGCUCUCGGACUCCAUGCCGCCGUUGUCUGUGAGCCACGGUCCGAAAUCGUAACUCCUGCCUCUGCAGCGAGACUCAAACCCACGAGUCAGAGGCAAGCGUUUUCGCCGCUGUCUGUCUUCGGGCGAUGCUGUUGGUCAUGUAGAUCCUGCUAAUCUGUGGUACCCGCCCUCUCCCUAUUGCAGCCUGUCUUCCUCUACUUCAGGACCAGCGAUUGGAUGGAGACGGAGACCUCCGAGACAACAUGACUUGGAUCCCUCCCACCACCAGAAGGAGAGAAUUGAUGCCCCCCACCCACCCACCCACCGACCGCGGUGGGCCAUCGGGAUUUGACCCAUCGGGCUUUGACGCCGACCAACGGACUGUCCGCCAUCUAACAGCCCCUGACUCAACACCCCCUUCCCGCAGCCCCCCCCGCCCAACCCCACGGUUCCCUCCCAAUACUUUGCCCUCUACAACCCUGGAUCACGCCAAGAGCUCAACUGGACCGUCAUGAGACUGACGUCUCCUGAGCAGCUAGGCCCCUGACCCUUCUCACCAAUGUGCACCACCCCCACCUCCCCCCAACAAACCACCCACCUCCACGGUCACAACUGAAGGCAGCCUGGACGUCCACAGACUCGCAGGCACCUGCUCUUCCAGCCCCGCUCGGCCUGAACGAUGACCCCUUGCUCCCCUCUUUCAUUCUUUGCGUUCUCAGUUGAACUCUUUCCUGACCUAUUUUUGACCUCCGCCUCUUCCUGCCUCCUCGCCAGUUGGGAGGAUUUCAGUCUUCAGAGCUCCCCUCGGAGUUGGGGACGUCGUGUUGAGGUUGUACAGGACAUUGGUGAGGCUUCGUCUGGCGUUCACCGCAUCGGUUACUGGCCGCUCGGUUUUGGGAAGGAUCUUACGAAACUGGAGAGGGCUCCCAAGAGAUUUCCCAGGAAUGGCGGGUCCGAGUUACAAGGAGAAAUGUCUGGGACGUUUCUCUCUGGAGCGUGGAAAGGGUUACCUUGUGGAAGUGUAUGAGGGGUCCAGAUAAGGUGAACAGCAAGGGGUCUUUUCCCCAGUUGGGGGGGGGGGGGAACUUCAAGACUAGGGGGCAUAUUUUGAAGGUAAGAGGAGCAAGAUUUAAAAAGGACAUGAACAUGAGGGGCAAUAUCUUUUACAUGGAGGGUCAUUUGUAAGUGGAGUGAACGUCCAGAGCAAAUGGAGGAUGGGGGUCCAAUUACAGCGCUUAAGCGGUAGUUGGAUAAGUCCAUGAGGCGGAAAGGUUUGGAGGGAUUGGGGCCAGGAGCAGGCAGGAGGGACCAGUUUAGUUUGGGAUUGGGGUUAGCACGGACGGGAUGGGCCGAAGGGUCUGUUUCCCUGCUGUCUGACUCCAGGAGGUGCCAAACAGAGUUUGUUUCACAGGGGAAUAGGGAGGCUGCUACGUUGCUGAGGGGUCUGGAGUCAUGUGUAGGGCCCAGAUCAGGUAAGGGUGGCCAAUCUGCCCAUCUAAGGGGAUAUCAGUGACCCAAAGUGAGGCUGUUGCGAAUGGCGCACUCAAUGCACUCGACUGAGGAAGGUAUUUUCUUUAUCAACAAAACCCCCCAGAAUCGAGCCCUCGCCCACCAUCCCACACCCCUACGCGCCAAGUCUGUCUCUCACCCAACCCUCUCCCCCACCCCAUGCACCCUCAUAUGCCGGUGUUCCAACCAAUGCCAGUCUAAGCCACCACCCCCCCCCCCGCCCUUACCCACACUAGGGGCUCAUUACGCCCUCCUUGACCUGACUUGUAGUCCAACGUAACCCCCACCCUCUCACCUCGCUGCCACACUGCCAUUGGUCUUUUUUUUGCCCUAAGUGCCAACUCCGCCAGUCGCCAUCCAGGAGCCGGGUCAGGGAUUCCUUACCCGUGUCCCUCCGCUUCCGAAGCCAAGCUCGGACUGAGGUGUUCCCGUCCAGUCCUCCGAGAAACGGGUGGCAUGGAGCAGGAGCUGAUGCCAGCUCAUUCAGACUGCCCUGCCAACCAACACGCUGGCACCUUUAAACCCGCUCUCUCUCUCUCCACAACCUGGCACACUGCUGCCCGUCUGACGUCUAUCCAUCUCCACCUUCAACGCCCUCAAAGGCCGGGCUUCCUCAUCUUCCCGGCUUUCGGAAUUCCAAAGCCUCUCUGCCCUCCUGUCUGAGAUAAGGAGAGCGGAUGUGCGCCCGUCCACCGAGGGGGGGGGGCAGUUGAACCCAAAUUCCGAGACAACUGAGGCAAGGACCACCCACCCCCCCUCCUCCUGGAUUUGAACCCUCUGCCGAUAGAGGAGUGACGUUCCAUUGGCCCUUCCCUGUGGCUUGCCGGAUUAGCUUUCCAAGAUUGAGAGGGGGGCGUACCUCGUACGUCCGCACUUUCCAACCACUGACCGUUUCUGGAAAUCCACCCGGAUUCAGUAACAGGGCUGGAGGGGCUGAACGGCCUCCUCCUGUUUCCGCACCAAGGACGGUCUGACAGGAAUGUGAGACCCACCAUCCCACAAGUCAGGACGAUUUUGGUGGGCUCCUUUAUUGAGCCUGGUCGCCUAACGCUGGGUUCAUCAAGACUUGCCCACCAUCACUUCCUCUCCCCCCAUAGGGUGCCAACAUGGCGGGUGUUGACGCUAUUUUGAGAGAUUGGCAUUGGAGAAGGAGCGAUCAGAGGCUGUUUCUAGUUCAGCGUCCACUGUGGGCCAAAUGGCCCCUCUUUAUUCAAUGUAUUUUGUACCAUACUGGCUGAUUGCUGUUUAUAUCACCCCACUGGGAGUGCCUCCUGUAUUUAUAUCAUCUGUCUGUACAUUGUACCCAUCCUGACUUUGUAAAGAACUGAAAUAAAUUCCAACAAGAACCUG